UACGAAGGGGGCUAGCGUUGCUCGGAAUGACUGGGCGUAAAGGGCGCGUAGGCGGAUGGCACAGUCAGACGUGAAAUUCCCGGGCUCAACCUGGGGGCUGCGUUUGAUACGUGCGGGCUUGAGUUCGGAAGAGGGUCGUGGAAUUCCCAGUGUAGAGGUGAAAUUCGUAGAUAUUGGGAAGAACACCGGUGGCGAAGGCGGCGACCUGGUCCGAUACUGACGCUGAGGCGCGAAAGCGUGGGGAGCAAACAGG
rnacentral:rRNA from 1 species